AGAGUUUGAUCCUGGCUCAGGACGAACGCUGGCGGCGUGCCUAACACAUGCAAGUGGAGCGACGAACCAGGGCUUGCCCUGGAGCAAAGCCGCGAACGGGUGAGUAACACGUGGGUAACCUACCCCAAUGACUGGGACAACCCGAGGAAACUCGGGCUAAUACCGGAUGUGCUCAGCGUCCAUCAGGACGGUGAGGAAAGGAAGCUUCGGCCUCCGCAUCGGGAGGGGCCCGCGGCCCAUUAGCUAGUUGGUGAGGUAACGGCUCACCAAGGCUGCAAUGGGUAGCUGGUCUGAGAGGACGAUCAGCCACACUGGGACUGAGACACGGCCCAGACUCCUACGGGAGGCAGCAGUGGGGAAUCUUGCGCAAUGCGCGAAAGCGUGACGCAGCAACGCCGCGUGGGGGAAGAAGGCUUUCGGGUCGUAAACCCCUUUCAGUAGGGACGAAGGUGUGGCGGUGAAUAGCCGUCCACACUGACGGUACCUGCAAAAGAAGCCCCGGCUAACUACGUGCCAGCAGCCGCGGUAAUACGUAGGGGGCUAGCGUUGUCCGGAAUUAUUGGGCGUAAAGAGCACGUAGGCGGCCCGGCUAGUCCGCUGUAAAAGUCAAAGGCUCAACCUUUGAAUGCCGGUGGAUACUGCCAGGCUAGAGUCCGGAAGAGGCGAGUGGAAUUCCUGGUGUAGCGGUGGAAUGCGCAG
rnacentral:rRNA from 1 species